rnacentral:lncRNA from 1 species
UUGAAUACAUGCUACAAAAAUUGAAUUAUAAAUAAUAAAUACUUGAUGGUUAAAUAAAUAAUAGUAAUGGACUAAAAAUUUAAAACACAACUUAUGCAAAGUAUAAAUGUCCAAAUAUAUUUGGCCUUCAGUCUUGUUCCCGCAUAAUUUUCGAUGCAUCCACACCAUCUUCCACCUCUUCGAUGAUAUUUGAUCCUUUUCAUUUAUUCAUUGUGGUUCUUUAUUGUCAAAUUUUAUACGGUCAGGACUAGGGUCUUGUCGCCAUAGACUAGCGGGCUUCCAGCCUGCAUCAAGGGCAAAGACAAUAAAAAAGUAGCAAAACCAACACCACUGACAUUAGCAUCAAGCAUCAUUCGAGUUAUAAUAUGAAAUUAAGUUACUUUUCCUAGAACAAACUCCUUACAAAAAAUCUCUUCAACAAAAGGUAAUUGAAUCGAAAGAGGACAGACUAUCUGACAGAAGAUUGUGAUUGAACCGACAGAUGAAAUGUCUUAACAAUUUUUUGCAUUUAAUGCAAUUGAUUCCAAGGAAACAAGCAAACAGCGAUAAUUUUCCCUCUAUUUUUCUUAUCAAUCUGGGUCUAUGAUCCAGCCAGCCAUGGUAGUUGAACAGGGAAAGGGAUUCAUCAACAUAAUACAGCCCUUUUGAGUCUAUGAGUUUACAUUUUACAGGUGCAAUGUUUGCUACUUGCUCGAACUAUUUAGUUGAUUCCAGACUUGUUCAACCAGAUCGCAAGAUAGAGAUGUUUUUAGGAAACUUAAAUCAGUGUUCAUAGAUAAGGUUCAAAGAUUGACUUAGGGAAAGAGCUCUAUCACUUAAUAAAUGUGCAUCUCCAUGUACAGGCCUUAAGCUACACUUCCAAAUAAGAACCUCAUUUCAAACAAAUUAGAAUUUAACAGUUUUAUGAGACCAGACUAAUAACUUCUAUUAAACAACUUAUUAUAACUUUUUUGCAUCAGGAAACCUAGAUUUUAGCAAGUUGUUUAACAGUAUGCAUACCAACAAAUAAUUCUUUUGGUAUUGAAAAAAAUUGUACUGGUUGCUAUCCUCAUCCUGGUAUCUCUGCUUCUGCUCACUUUUCCCCUUUCCACAAGAAUACAGCAUCAACCUCGUGCCCUUCUAACUUUGCCUUGAGACCUUUAUGCAAGAAAUAUGCUGAUCAACCGCUGAAGUUUUCUUUUUCUCGUUUCUCUCAGCACCAAAGGAGAACAUGUAUUUGAAGCUGAAUAAUUUGAAUUAAAGAAAGCAUUGGAGUUGCAGGAAAAGCUCAGGGAGAUGAAACUGCUGUAAAACACAGACACCAAAGCGAUACCUUUGCACCUAUUUCUGGUGAAGGUUAACUAGGAUUGCUGAGGCUAGCCACACUGCAGGAAACAUCUUUUACGACCGACCUGCAAUGUUCAGCUCCUGAAAAAGUUCUUGACUCUGAAUCUUGAUGAUAUAGGAAGACAAACAAGAUCAACACUUCAAACAGAAUGGGCACUCAAUUAUGUUUGUGUAUUGGAAAGACCUAAGCAUCAUUUUAUCCCAUCUGUAAUUAGCCACUCAGUACAUUUGAUCAACUGACCUACAACGAGCAUCUCAAAAGUCUAGCUUGCAUCAUUACUAGCAACAUCAGCAGUCAAGCGAGUCAACAACUCUAGUUAAGGUUACAGUUAACUCAACAUUUGCACAAACUACAAUUUCUGCUAGCUAACUGGUAGGUCAUUGAUUUAAUAGGGCAACCACAAUUACCUACUCUUAUAAUUCAAUGGGAAUGUAAAACUACUAGAUGAAUGGGAAACUCUGAAAGCUGAAGAUGAAGUCAGGCAAAUGGGGUUCAAAUCCACUGACUUUAACAAGCUUGCCUAACCUCACACAUAUGCGCAUUUGAUUUGAUUAGGGGCAAUCAUUGUACCAUAUAAUAGUAAAAUACAGAUGAUAAACAAAAUUAAUGCUGGUUUAACAAAUAGGCAUUUGAAAAUGCAAAUGUGCUUCUUAAGUUGCACAUUUUUCUUUCUUCGAAAAAAGGUUGCACAUCUUUCACAAAAAACAAACUAUAGGACUUGAUGAGAAGGAAAUGAAGCAUUUUCAUGGAACUCUAGUCAUUACUAGAUAAUCAAUCACAAACUAUACUAAAAUAUAAAGAAAGAGAGAAAACAAAAGAAAAGAGAAGUCGUCUGCUGAAGGAUCAUGCCCAUCUCUACAAUUAGACAUUCAGAAAAGAAGCAAACAUUCAAAGGAUAACUGUGAGGACACUAGGCAAAUGGAGGUCUAUCCCAGUUUCUCCUCCAUUAGUGGCUCCUCCCGAUAUCUUCAUCCAAUUUGGAAUUGGAUAACUGCUGGUAUCUAAGUCUGCUAUGCAUUAUGCCCAUCUCUUCACGGAGGAACUCAGAAGGCGAAGCACAUUUUUUGAAGCAGAAAUGAGAGGCUACUAGGCAAAAGGAGGUUUUAUCCUGGUUUAACUAUACCCCUCAACUGAUGGUCCCUCAUGAUAUCCUUAGCCAGUUUGGAUUUUAGGCAAUAAUUGGAAUAUUCAUAUCUGUGGUGUUAAAGCCUAGAAGUACGCUAGUUUGGAAUUCUCUCGCUUGACAGAACUGAGUUGACUUGAUGGCUCAUGAAUGAUUUGGUAUCAUGGAUAAACAGGCAGGAUACAACAUCCUUUUUUACAUGGGCAAGCAUAGGAAACUUCAUAUCAACUAGUGUCUUCAACACUUACACCACUGAUCGACCAUUAUGAUCUAAGCUUUGAUACCAAACUUGACACCAGCAUUUGGAAAGGACCAUCUCACAAGGACUUACACAAGAAGCUGUCAAACCUCUGCUGGAAAUCAUCGAGGAAUAAGCAUGGGGCAAGUCACAACAUUAUGCAAUAAACUUUUUUUAAAAAAUACAUGCUUCAAAGGGUUGAUAAUGUACAAGACCAAAAUCCACAGUCCAAACUAGAAUUUGGUUCAGGUGUACCUAAGGAGGCAUUCCUACAGUUAGAUUCCCUUGUAGAUGAGAACAGCAGGAUAUCCAAAUCUAUAGUUGCUAAUUCAUUAUUCUUUUAUGUAGCCACCUAAAUAAUUAAAACUUGGUCCCAACUUCAUGUAAUAGUUUUAAAGGUCCCUUGAGAAGAGAACCUUAAUUGAUUUCUACGGCACAUACAGAUACAAUUAAACUAGCGAGGUUUUAAAUACUAUUGGGACAUUGGGUAAUUCGAUCAUCCCCGGAGUCAAGACAAGGCAGUCUCAAGUGGCGGGAUGGUACAAGUCAAGAAAUGUAUCAGACGGGAUGGAACAUCCACCUUCUACAAGGGUGUCUUGUUACAUGGAAAAACCAGGAUGGCCUCUUCCCACAGUAUUUCAACAAAUAGGAUAAUAUGUAUUAAUGUGUCUGUAAGACAUGCAAAUUUAUGCGUCACCAUUGAAAGAUAAAAAAUACCAGAUACAACAUUCACUAGUAUAUUUUUAAGCU